rnacentral:rRNA from 1 species
UACGGGAGGCAGCAGUGGGGAAUAUUGCACAAUGGGCGCAAGCCUGAUGCAGCCAUGCCGCGUGUAUGAAGAAGGCCUUCGGGUUGUAAAGUACUUUCAGUCGUGAGGAAGGUGUUAAGGUUAAUAACCUUAGCAAUUGACGUUAGCGACAGAAGAAGCACCGGCUAACUCCGUGCCAGCAGCCGCGGUAAUACGGAGGGUGCGAGCGUUAAUCGGAAUUACUGGGCGUAAAGGGCACGCAGGCGGUUAAUUAAGUUGGAUGUGAAAUCCCCGGGCUUAACCUGGGAAUGGCAUUCAAGACUGGUUAGCUAGAGUCUUGUAGAGGGGGUAGAAUUCCAUGUGUAGCGGUGAAAUGCGUAGAGAUGUGGAGGAAUACCGGUGGCGAAGGCGGCCCCUGGACAAAGACUGACGCUCAUGUGCGAAAGCGUGGGGAGCAAACAGAAUUAGAUACC